AUUUAACGCUGGCGGCAGGCCUAACACAUGCAAGUCGAACGAGUGGCGGACGGGUGAGUAAGUUCUGGGAAACUGCCUGAUGGAGGGGGAUAACUACUGGAAACGGUAGCUAAUACCGACUACCCUCAGAUGUGCCAAGAUGGGAUUAGCUAGUUGGUGGGGUAACGGCUCACCAAGGCGACGAUCCCUAGCUGGUAUGAGAGGAUUACCAGCCACACUGAAAAUGAGACACGGUCCAGACUCCUACGGUAGGCAGCAGUGGGGAAGAUUGCAAAAUGGGCGCAAGCCUUAUGCAGCCACGCCGCGUGGAUGAAGAAGGCCGUCGAGUUGUAAAGUACUUUAAGCGGGGAGGCGUUACCCGCAUAAGAAGCACCGGCUAACUCCGUGCCAGCAGCCGCGGUAAUAC
rnacentral:rRNA from 1 species